UACGAAGGGGGCUAGCGUUGCUCGGAAUCAGCUGGGCGUAAAGCGCACGUAGGCGGACUCUUAAGUCGGUGGUGAAAUCCUGGAGCUCAACUCCAGAACGUGCCUUCGAUACUGAGAGUCUUGAGUCCGGGAGAGGUGAGUGGAACUGCGAAGUGUAGAGGUGAAAUUCGUAGAUACUUACGCAAAGAACACCCAAUGGCGGCAGGACGCGAGC
rnacentral:rRNA from 1 species